GUACCCUUUCACUGCUUAAGCCAUCCACAUCUGCUCAUCAUCCGUACUUUGUACAUCUACGCAAGAUGAACUUCGUAUUAGGAAAGCCACUACUCCUGCUGAUGCUACUCUUCCUACAAUAUAUACACCCAGGAUGCACAUCGCACUACUCCCACCACCACGGCCACUAUUCCCAUUAUCACACAUUUUACCAAACGACCACGCUAACCUGCCUGCAAUCGGUAACGCAACCCACCGUCACGCAAACCGUUCCGGUAACAGACUUUGCAACCGUCACCAAUACCGCACGCACUUACACCCUUGUCACACCGACCCCAGUGAUGCUUACGGAAAUGUCCACCCUCACACUAUCGUCCACCGUAUUGACCAUCACACCGAGCACGACCAUUACCAGCACCGGUACGAGCAUCGUCACUUCAACACCGCCGCUCGUAUCAACCGUCACCAGCAGCACCAGCACCAUUCUCUUCUCGACCACGAUCGUUGUGCGGCAAACGAUCACCAUCACCUCCACGAGCACGAUCAUUUCGACCAGAACGUCCAGACUUCCAAUGUGUAAUUAGUGGACUUCGGAUUCGGUUGCUCCCGGGACUUGUUUAGUGACAUUUCACCUGUGUGCGGUCUGUGUGCGUACGAUGAGGGUAAUAAAAUUCUUAUUAUCAUCCCGGGGAGCGGACAGCGUCUUCCCUUUCUGCAGUUGCAUUCUUUUAAGGUGUGCCAAACUUUACCUACAAACAACAUCAGCAUACAAGUGUUCUUGGAACGGUUCAGUUGUUAGACGCUCGACGGCACGGAACAACCUUCAACAACCUGAUCGCAUGGCUUACGGUUGGAGC